UCCUAGCAGUAAACGAUGCGGGCUAGGUGUUGGCAUCACUGCGAGUGGUGCCAGUGCCGAAGGGAAGCCGUUAAGCCCGCCAUCUGGGGAGUACGGUCGCAAGGCUGAAACUUAAAGGAAUUGGCGGGGGAGCACAGCAACGGGAGGAGCGUGCGGUUUAAUUGGAUUCAACGCCGGAAAGCUUACCAGGGGAACUGGUAUGGGGCCACUGAAGCCUUGCUCGAAUAAUGG
rnacentral:rRNA from 1 species